CCUACGGGAGGCUGCAGUGGGGAAUAUUGGACAAUGGGGGGAACCCUGAUCCAGCCAUGCCGCGUGUUUGAAGAAGGCCCUCGGGUUGUAAAGCACUUUCAGUGAGGAAGAACGCCUGGUGGUUAAUACCCAUCAGGAAAGACAUCACUCACAGAAGAAGCACCGGCUAACUCCGUGCCAGCAGCCGCGGUAAUACGGAGGGUGCGAGCGUUAAUCGGAAUUACUGGGCGUAAAGCGCGCGUAGGUGGCUUGAUAAGCCGGUUGUGAAAGCCCCGGGCUCAACCUGGGAACGGCAUCCGGAACUGUCAAGCUAGAGUGCAGGAGAGGAAGGUAGAAUUCCCGGUGUAGCGGUGAAAUGCGUAGAGAUUGGGAGGAAUACCAGUGGCGAAGGCGGCCUUCUGGACUGACACUGACACUGAGGUGCGAAAGCGUGGGUAGCAAACAGGAUUAGAUACCCCGGUAGUC
rnacentral:rRNA from 1 species